CUUCCUGCUGUUUGGCUGCAGGGCAAGGCGUGUCUCCGUGGGCCCCGGGAAAUGGGGGUGUGUUCGCGUCCAAGAGGGCGUGGCCCGCGUCCGGAGUGGGAGCAGCCGCCCCGCCCCGCCUUGUCGGGCGACUCCUCGCCUGAACCGCAGCUUCCGCGGGAGCCCUGGAUCUGGUCCAGAACACAGAGGAGGAAGCUCUGGUGACAUUGUAGACACAGGCUGGGAGCAGCAAGCUUGGCCGGGAGCGGCUCGAGGAGUUGGCAGAUAACUUCACGGAGCCUCAGGCAAACAAUCCUUGUGGAAAAACAAAUGUCCUCCCUCAGUCUCAUGGGUUGUCUUGUCCCCAAGCACCCCCGGUGGCCAGCGCAUGCUGGCCCUCCGCCAAUGGCGCCCCUCAGGUGACUGGGAAGCACAGUGGUCUAUUAAAAAAGAGUUGGCAUGAAAAUGUGAGGGAGUCUCCAGCCACCAGUAACCAUCCUCGGUGUCCGACCAGAAAAAUCUAAAAACGCACGCAGCAGCACUGAGCUGUACUCACAAGACUUC